rnacentral:rRNA from 1 species
AUUGAACGCUGGCGGCAGGCCUAACACAUGCAAGCCGAGCGGGGUUUUUGGACCUAGCGGCGGACGGGUGAGUAAUGCGUAGGAAGCUACCCGAUAGAGGAGGGUACCAGUUGGAAACGACUGUUAAUACCGCAUAAUGUCUACGGACCAAAGUGUGGGUCUUUCGGUCCACAUGCUAUCGGUUGCGCCUACGUGGGAUUGGCUAGUUGGUGAGGUAAUGGCUCACCAAGGCCACGAACCCUAUGUGGUUUGAGAGGAUGAUCAGCCACACUGGACCUGUGGAGCGGUCCAGCCUCCGACGGGAGGCAGCAGUGGGGAAUAGUGGACAGUUGGCGCAAGCCUGAUCCAGCCAUGCGGCGUGUGUGAAGCAGGCUUUCGGGUAGUAAAGCACUUUCAGAAGGGAGGAAGGGUUGUGUGUUCAUAGUACACCGCGUUGACGUUGACUACAGAAGAAGCGCCGGCUAACUCUGUGCCAGCCGCCGCCGUAACAC